UUGUCAGGUGGGAUAAUCCUAUUCCUCCUUUUGGAGGGCAGAUAUCAAACAUGAUGAUAGGAGUUCACAUGAUAUGCUAUUAGUGUCCCUGCAUAAUCACAACUUACAAUACCCUGAUUAAUCCUAUCUGAU
ensembl:snoRNA U8 U8 small nucleolar RNA